UACGGGGGGGGGCAAGCGUUGUUCGGAAUUACUGGGCGUAAAGGGCUCGUAGGCGGCCAACUAAGUCAAACGUGAAAUCCCUCGGCUUAACCGGGGAACGGCGUCUGAUACUGGAUGGCUCGAGUUUGGGAGAGGGAUGCGGAAUUCCAGGUGUAGCGGUGAAAUGCGUAGAUAUCUGGAGGAACACCGGUGGCGAAGGCGGCAUCCUGGACCAACACUGACGCUGAUGAGCGAAAGCCAGGGGAGCAAACGGG
rnacentral:rRNA from 1 species